ACCUGCGGAAGGAUCAUUACAGAGUUAGGGUCUUGUCAGGCCCGAUCUCCAACCCUCUGUGUACCAACCUCUGUUGCUUUGGCGGGCCCGCUGGGGUGACCCACCGGCGGUUUUUGGGCUGCCGAGUGCCCGUCAGAGACCCAUCAAAACCCGUUAAGUGUGACGUCUGAGUACCAAACAUAAUAGUUAAAACUUUCAACAACGGAUCUCUUGGUUCUGGCAUCGAUGAAGAACGCAGCGAAAUGCGAUAAGUAAUGUGAAUUGCAGAAUUCAGUGAAUCAUCGAAUCUUUGAACGCACAUUGCGCCUCUCGGUAUUCCGGGGGGCAUGCCUGUUCGAGCGUCAUUUUCACCACUCAAGCUCAGCUUGGUCUUGGGCCCUCAUCCCCUGUGGAUGUGUCCGGAAACCAGUGGCGGCGCAGCCCGGCUUCAAGCGGUAUCAGUUUUAUCUUCGCUUUGGAGGCUCGGGCUUGGGUCUGCCAGACAACCCCCACCAUUUCUAUAAGGUUGACCUCGGAUCAGGUAGGGAUACCCGCUGAACUUAAGCAUAUCAAUAAGCGGAGGAAAAGAAACCAACAGGGAUUGCCUCAGUAACGGCGAGUGAAGCGGCAACAGCUCAAAUUUGAAAUCUGGCCCUUUCAGGGUCCGAGUUGUAAUUUGCAGAGGAUGCUUCGGGUUCGGCUCCGGUCUAAGUUCCUUGGAACAGGACGUCAUAGAGGGUGAGAAUCCCGUAUGUGACCGGCCGCCACGCCCGUGUGAAGCUCCUUCGACGAGUCGAGUUGUUUGGGAAUGCAGCUCAAAAUGGGUGGUAAAUUUCAUCCAAAGCUAAAUAUUGGCCAGAGACCGAUAGCGCACAAGUAGAGUGAUCGAAAGAUGAAAAGCACUUUGGAAAGAGAGUCAAACAGUACGUGAAAUUGUUGAAAGGGAAGCGCUUGCAACCAGACUUGCCCGCGGGUGAUCAGCCGGUAUUCUUACCGGUGCACUCGCCCGUGGUCAGGCCAGCAUCGGUUAGGGCGGCUGGAUAAAGUCCCCCGGAAUGUAGCUCCCCUCGGGGAGUGUUAUAGCCGGAGGUGCCAUGCAGCCUGCCCGGACCGAGGACCGCGCU
rnacentral:sRNA from 1 species